GGAGGAAAAGAAACUAACAAGGAUUCCCCUAGUAACUGCGAGUGAAGCGGGAAAAGCUCAAAUUUAAAAUCUGGCGGUCUUUGGCCGUCCGAGUUGUAAUCUAGAGAAGUGUUACCCGCGUCGGACCGUGUACAAGUCUCCUGGAAUGGGGCGUCAUAGAGGGUGAGAAUCCCGUCUUUGACACGGACUACCGAGGCUUUGUGGUGCGCUCUCAAAGAGUCGAGUUGUUUGGGAAUGCAGCUCAAAAUGGGUGGUAAAUUCCAUCUAAAGCUAAAUAUUGGCGAGAGACCGAUAGCGAACAAGUACCGUGAGGGAAAGAUGAAAAGAACUUUGGAAAGAGAGUUAAACAGUACGUGAAAUUGCUGAAAGGGAAACGCUUGAAGUCAGUCGCGUUGGCCGGAAAUCAACCUUGCUUUUGCUGGGCGUACUUUCUGGUUGACGGGCCAGCAUCAGUUUUGACCGAUGGAAAAAGUCUAGGGAAAUGUGGCAUCUUCGGAUGUGUUAUAGUCCUUGGUCGUAUACAUCGGUUGGGACUGAGGAACUCAGCACGCCGCAAGGCCGGGUCAUUGACCACGUUCGUGCUUAGGAUGCUGGCAUAAUGGCUUUAAUCGACCCGUCUUGAAACACGGACCAAGGAGUCUAACAUGCCUGCGAGUGUUUGGGUGGUAAACCCGAGCGCGUAAUGAAAGUGAAAGUUGAGAUCCCUGUCGUGGGGAGCAUCGACGCCCGGACCUGAAGUUUUCUGACGGAUCUGCGGUAGAGCAUGUAUGUUGGGACCCGAAAGAUGGUGAACUAUGCCUGAAUAGGGUGAAGCCAGAGGAAACUCUGGUGGAGGCUCGUAGCGAUUCUGACGUGCAAAUCGAUCGUCAAAUUUGGGUAUAGGGGCGAAAGACUAAUCGAACCAUCUAGUACU
rnacentral:rRNA from 1 species